rnacentral:lncRNA from 1 species
AGGGUUUUUCAGGGAUUGUGAGAGAGAUGAGCUAUAUAUUUCUUUCGUGUUUGUGAGCAGAUGAGAGAUUUAUGUGUGGAGUGAGAAGAGAAAAUGAGGAGUGUCGUAGGUGAGUGGGAGCGUUUUUGUGCUGAGAUUUUUCUGAGCCAAAUGAGAGUGGAGUGAAUCAGUUGGUUAGUAGUGGUUCUGAGGAUUUUCC